UACGUAGGGUGCAAGCGUUAAUCGGAAUUACUGGGCGUAAAGCGUGCGCAGGCGGUUUUGUAAGUCAGAUGUGAAAUCCCCGGGCUUAACCUGGGAACUGCGUUUGAAACUACAAGGCUAGAGUGUGGCAGAGGGGGGUGGAAUUCCACGUGUAGCAGUAAAAUGCGUAGAGAUGUGGAGGAACACCGAUGGCGAAGGCAGCCCCCUGGGUUAACACUGACGCUCAGGCACGAAAGCGUGGGGAGCAAACAGG
rnacentral:rRNA from 1 species